rnacentral:misc_RNA from 1 species
AGGGACUACCGGGGUAUCUAAUCCUGUUUGCUCCCCACGCUUUCGCGCCUCAGUGUCAGUUACAGACCAGAAAGUCGCCUUCGCCACUGGUGUUCCUCCAAAUCUCUACGCAUUUCACCGCUACACUUGGAAUUCCACUUUCCUCUUCUGCACUCAAGUCUCCCAGUUUCCAAUGACCCUCCCCGGUUAAGCCGGGGGCUUUCACAUCAGACUUAAAAGGCCGCCUGCGCGCGCUUUACGCCCAAUAAUUCCGGACAACGCUUGCCACCUACGUAUUACCGCGGCGGCUGGCACC